GCACCCGCGGUAAUUCCAGCACCAAUAGCGUAUAUUAAUGCUGCUGCUGUUAAAAAGCUCGUAGUUGGAUCAAGAGUUGGACAGUGCACGGUGGCCCCGUUUGUUUGUCUGGCUCCGGUCAGGCAGGCGGCAGCGGAACAACCCCGUGCGCCAAACUGUCCACUCUAACAGACCGAAACGGUUCCCUGUGAGUAGGCUCCUUAAUUGGGGCUGAAAGCGCCUACGCAUCAACCAUAUGCAUACGGGACGUCGGUCAAUGUUACUGUGAACAAACCAGCGUGUCCAAAGCAGGCUUUCGCCUGAAUGUUCGAGCAUGGAAUAACAAGGGAUCGAUUCUCUCGGUUCUUUUUGUUGGUUUUUAACCCGAGAAGGAGUAAUUCAGGCCACGGUGUCUGAGUUGGGUUCCCCUGGGCUUCGGCUCAGGCCCCAAUUAGGCCGUGUCCUUACGGGAUCAAUAGGGACUGACGGGGUCGUACCUACUUCCGCGUCAGAGGUGAAAUUCUUAGAUCGCGGGAAGAGGAACUUCUGCGAAAGCAUUCGACAAGAAUGUCUUCAUUAAUCAAGAACGAGAGUGUGGGGAUCGAAGAUGAUCAGAUACCGUCGUAGUCCACUACUGUAAACAAUGCCGUCUCAGGAUUGAGAAGUGAACAGAAUGACUUUCACAGCACUAACCCCUGAAACGAGAAAUCAAAGAUUAUGGGUUCAGGGGGGAGUACAUUCGCAAGGCUGAAACUUAAAGGAAUUGACGGAAUGACACCACAAGGCGUGGAGUAUGCGGCUUAAUUUGACUCAACACGGGGAAUUUUACUAGGUCAGGACAAUGUAAGGAUUGACAGAUUGAGAGCUCUUUCUCGAUCCAUUGUGUGGUGGUGCAUGGCCGCUCCUGGUUGGUGGAGUGAUUUGUCUGGUUGAUUCCGUUAACGAACGAGAUCUCGACCCUUAAAUAGGUGCGCAUGUCGAUUGUAGCUUCACCUCCGCCAGCUUGCUGGAUUGGAGUGGGGCGAGACUGUGCGAAUACUUCUUAAGGGGACUGUGUGCGUCUCUAGCACGCGGAAGAGCGAGCCAAUAGCAGGUCUGUGAUGCUCCUAAAUGUCCUAGGCUGCACGCGCACUACACUGAUGCAAUAAACGAGUCUGAGUGCCUCCUGGCAACCUACCUGGAAGCGGGUGGGAAAUCUUUUGAACUUGCAUCGUGAUGAG
rnacentral:rRNA from 1 species